UUUAAUUUCCAUUUUUUCAUCAACUUUGCACUCGCUCGCACAAAAGUUUGUGGGCUAGUUUUUGUAGGGUUUUGACGGCUUAUACGCAAUGCAAAAUACAUUGCAUGCAACGCAAAAUACAUUUUGAAUUUCUGUUUUGAUGGAAAGAAAUGCAUUUAAUUUCGCUGAUUUUCAAAAUGCAUCACAAGUGAUCUGCCUGAUCCCUAACGAUCAAGGUAGGCCUUGAUUUUCAUGAUCUAUUCAUUUUUCAUUUAACACUUGUCAGAACAGGAACGUUAUACCAAACAGUUUUGGUUCGGUGGACAAGCUAACUGGCUGAUCGACGGUUGCAGGACUUGAAGGGACCCGCCCUUACACGAUUUGCUGCUCAUCAAGUCACAUCGAUCUCAAGUUUUCAAGAAGGUCAAGAUCUUUCAAACGUUCCAGCUCAAUCUGCCCGUACAAAUUUUACGUCUUAUUGAAGACAGACAGUUUUGUAUUAAUCAUCUGCGUAGCAGUAUUUACAAAAGGAAAGUGCUCCAGAAUCAACAAAACGAUUGAAAAAAGAGUUCCAUCGAAGCUUGGUUUAGCGAUUGCGAAGACGAGAAGGCUAGUGAUUUAGCUGUUCGAAGAAGAAGGAUUCGCGAUGCAUCCAAUCCAUUGGAUUUGCCAGAUGAAACCUUUGUACAGUACUUCCGUGUGUCCAAAGACCUAUUUUUGUAAACAUAAACAUCCG